UUGAUACUCCCUCCGUCCCAAAAAUUUCUUGUCUUAGGUUUUUCUAGAUAUGAAUGUAUCUAGUCACGUUUUAUUAUUUUGAUACAUCCAUUUCUAGACAAAUCUAAGACAAGAAUUUUAGGACGGAGGGAGUACAAA
rfam:Hordeum vulgare subsp. vulgare, WGS project CAJW01000000 data, contig: morex_contig_45482